GGUGACGAGCGGCGGACGGGUGAGUAAUGUCUGGGAAACUGCCUGAUGGAGGGGGAUAACUACUGGAAACGGUAGCUAAUACCGCAUAACGUCGCAAGACCAAAGAGGGGGACCUUCGGGCCUCUUGCCAUCAGAUGUGCCCAGAUGGGAUUAGCUAGUAGGUGGGGUAAUGGCUCACCUAGGCGACGAUCCCUAGCUGGUCUGAGAGGAUGACCAGCCACACUGGAACUGAGACACGGUCCAGACUCCUACGGGAGGCAGCAGUGGGGAAUAUUGCACAAUGGGCGCAAGCCUGAUGCAGCCAUGCCGCGUGUGUGAAGAAGGCCUUCGGGUUGUAAAGCACUUUCAGCGAGGAGGAAGGUGGUGAACUUAAUACGUUCAUCAAUUGACGUUACUCGCAGAAGAAGCACCGGCUAACUCCGUGCCAGCAGCCGCGGUAAUACGGAGGGUGCAAGCGUUAAUCGGAAUUACUGGGCGUAAAGCGCACGCAGGCGGUUUGUUAAGUCAGAUGUGAAAUCCCCGGGCUCAACCUGGGAACUGCAUUUGAAACUGGCAAGCUAGAGUCUCGUAGAGGGGGGGUAGAAUUCCAGGUGUAGCGGUGAAAUGCGUAGAGAUCUGGAGGAAUACCGGUGGCGAA
rnacentral:rRNA from 1 species